CUAGUAAUAAGUUUAUGUAUCUACUAAAACUUAAUUACAUGGAGUCAAUCUAAUGGAUCACUAAUGAUUUUUUAAUCAAAACAACCUAGUUAUAUAUAAUUACUGAAAAAAAUAAUCUCAUUUUUCACGGCCCGAGAAGCGAGCAAAGGUCCUUCCAACAAGUUAAACAUGUUCACAAGGUGUCACCAAAGCACAAAACGGUCCAUAAGCAAACGAACUGUGGCCUCUGAAAGCCUAGAGGAAUCCAAGUCCCUCUGAAUCUGAGCCAUUCUGCUGCUCUCUUUUCUUGCUUCUUUCAACACUUGCUGUUGUUCUUCAACCUCAUCAUCACCUUCUCCUUGUUUUCCCUUUGAUGAAAACACCAGUCGCUUCUUAGCCCCUACCUUGUCUUUCAGCUUUGCCAACUCGCUCAUCCAAACCUCCACCACUGCAGACAUGCUUGAACUUGAAAACAUGAAAACUGGCUUGGUCUUGACUCUUUGAGUUUGAUCAAGGAUGAUGAGGAGAGCUGGCUAUUAUGCUUGUUGGGUUAUAUAGAAGAGAGAGAGAGAAAGAGGGCCUUGCCCUUCAUGUGGCUUGGAUUGGAUGAAAAAUCAGUGUGUCACAGAGCCGCUGGUUAUAGGCUAGAAAUAUUCCUCGGGAAGAGAGAGAGAGAGAGUAGAAAGUGGGGUAUGAGUUUUGUUGAGUGAAUGAAAAGCUUCCCCGUGGGCGGGCACACGGAACUCUCUUCUUUAGAUUAAUCUUGUGGGCGACUUGGCAUAUUACUAUUCAUCAAUAGUAUUCCAUUGCAUCUUAGUUUUUCUUUUGUCUUAUGCCAACAUUGUAAAUCUCUUUCUCCGAAAUACCUAUUCACCUCUUUAUCAUCAUCUACAGUAAAAGUAGCCAUCUUCAUUAUCUUCCGAGUCUUGCUCAUCUUCACAUCGAUCAACAAAAUUAUCUUCAUCAAACCUCUCAUUAACAUCUUCCAAGUCAUCGGAUUCAGACUCACCAUCUUCCGUAAAUAUAGACAGGUCUUCAUCAUCCUGUGUCAUUACCAGGUGGACCCCGAAGCUUUUAAAACGCAGCGAAUCUUCUGCCCAAGUCGGAAAAUUAACUCGACACGCAAAAGGCGACUUCGGCCAGGUAAUCUGAUCAUCCCGGUAAAACAUUUCUCUGAACUGAAUAUAGCACAGCCACACAUGACCUGACCCUAUCUUUUUGAAAUAGUAAUUGCACUGAAUAAAAUAAGGUUCCACUCCUGGUUGAUUGAUGGAAAUUUUUGGUACAAAACCAUGGAAACGUCGUCUUUUGUUUUGGGGGUUUUCAACAGCAGCGUAUAGAGCCAAUCCUUGGUUCUGGCAUUUGAAGUUUGGAGGGAUUUGAAUCAAAAAUUUACAUGCGUUAUCACGCUCCUUCACAUCCUUAUGACAGCUGAACAACGUCGAGAAAACUUCAAAACUUGCUGGAAAUACAACCUGAAAUCCAUGUUUCUGUGAAGACAGAAGGUGAUCAAAGAAGAGAGUGAUCUGCUCCUUUGCUAAAAUGUUAUGCUUCUUUGUGAGGUCACGAGCCAGAUUGCCGCACAGUCUCUGGCAAUUACCCAAGUCCACCAACUCAAUCAUUUGUAAGUCUUUUUUACCUUUCAGAAUGUUGGACAACGAUGAAAACCUUUCCAAUGAUACGCAAUCACUCGCCCCUAACUUUACUAUUUUUGGUGGAAGUUCCGGAAUAUCUCGAAGCCUCUUGCAGCCAUGCAAGUAAAGAUCCCGCAAAUUGACAAAUUUCGUAAUGCAUUUGGGAAUACUUACAAGGAAAUCACUUCGUCUUAGAUCAAGUACGUUCAAUGUAGACACACAAUCAAGAGUCCUCAGGAAAUUAAAUUCUGAUAAAUUGUUUCCUUCCAACUUGAAUUCCGCAAGACUGGGAAGCGCUAAAGUAUGUGAUACUGGACUCCCCAAAACUUCAGACUUCACUUUAUUUGGAAAUCUAACAAGCUUUCGACUUCCUUGGAGACAAAUUUCAUUUAGAUGUUCCAACUCAUAAAUGCUGGAUGGCAGAUUCGUCAGAUUUUCACAAAUGCUUAUGUCUAAAAAUUCAAGACUGACGAGAUAUGCAAUUGACGCAGGCAAUUCUUUGAUGCCACUACCACAUAGAAACAAGUGACGUAAGGAAUCCAUCUUCCCCCCAAUUUCAGGGAAAGUCUCCAGUCUUCUGCAAUAUACAAGAUAGAGAACUUCUAGAGAUUUUGACUUGAUUAUUGGAAAUAGUGUGAGGUUAUGGCAACUCUGAAGACUCAAUUUCACAAGCUUAUCAUGAAAUCCAACAGAAGGAUGAACCUCAACUAAACUUGUGCAGUCGUCUAGAUUCAAGGACUGUAAGUUUGGAAUUCCAGAGAUAUUUGGGCUUUUUGUUAGGAAUUCACAGCUCUUAAAAUUCAUGGACGUCAAAUUUUGCAAACGCUAUAUAAGACAAAAAUAGAAAAUAAAAAGAAGGAUCAAACGGUAAGGCAUAAACAAGUUCAAGCCAUAACUCCAAAAACAUAAUAAACUUUUGAAAAUACGAAGGGAUGAAAAUAAUUUAAAUUACCUUGAAUCCCUCCCCAAGUUGUGACAAGCGGCUAUAAGGCAUAUAAAGUUCAACAAGUUUCCUUGGAUUGAAAGUAGAUGGUAAAGUUUGUAGAGGACAAUUAGGCCAAUGAAGAAACCUCAACUCAUUAGAUAGAUAAUCCACGUGAUCGCCACUAAAUCGUGCAUUCACAUUGAUGAAAAGUCGAAGGUUUUUCAUCUUUGAGAAGCUGUCACCACUCAAGCAUAUGUCAUCUGGUGUCGGAAACUUUGCUAUGAUGCCUUUAAUAUUAUUUGUUCCCUAUUAUCAAAAAGCAGUAGUGUAAACAUACAAAGCUCUUUAGCAAAUAAAAAUGCAAGUGUACACAUCACACAACAGACUUACUGUUCCUUCUGUUAGAACACGAUAAACAUCCUCGUGAAACCACAAUCUGCUACGUUCACCAGGCUCAUUUGGCGACUGUAGAUAAACUAUUCCUCUACCCAAUUCUUCAAGCAAGUCAUGCAUCCCAAUUAUGCCUCGUUCAAUAUUUAUGAGGGCCUUGUCUACGAGUACUUUAAUAGCAUACUUAGGCUUGAGGUCACAACCUUCCAGGAUCGGUAUCACAUGGUUCACCUUUCUACCGUUAAAGAAACAUGCUAUGUCAAGGAAAACUUCUUGCACUGAAUAUUCCAAUGCAUCAUAGCUUAUUUUGAGAGUUUUUUUAAUGUCCGGGUGCAGAUUCCCAUCCAAUGCAUCAUGCCACUCAUCUAUACUUCUACCACAUAGAUGAGAACCUAAAACCUUGAGAGCUAAAGGAAGACCUUGAGCAUGCUUCAGCACAGUUUCUGCAGCUUUCACAUAAUCAUCAUCCAAAUUUUUAUUUCUCCCACCAUUCCAACUAAUGAAGAGAUCAAGAGAUUCACCAAAGUUUAAUUUCUUGGCCUUAUAUAUAAUACUAACUUGAUGAGAAGUUAGCAAAUGCUUAUCUCUUGUCGUUAUGAUGAUUCUACUGCCCAAACCAAACCAAUCACAACCUCCAACUAAGUUGUUUAAUUGGUCCAAAUGAUCCACAUCAUCUACAAUUACAAGGACCUUUUUACCACUCAACCUUUCCUUUAUCACACUGAUUCCUUUAUCGGCACUGGUAACCUUUAUUUCCUUUCCCCUUAGAAUCUCAUCAAGAAGAAGAUUUUGUAGGUCGACUAGGCCUCCAUAUGGUAUUGAUCUUUCUCUUACUUUUUCCAGAAAACAACUCCCUUCAAACACAUGGGCCAGUGAGUUAUAAACAGCUUUAGCAACAGUUGUCUUUCCUAUUCCAGCAGUCCCCCAUAUUCCUACCAUGCGAACAUCAUUUCCGUCAACAUCUAAAACUUUAUGAAGAUCUCGUACACGAGCCUGUAUUCCGACUUGGUAUUUUGCCACAUUGAUAUGGGUAUCAUUUAAUACUUGUAAGGAAAUCUCGUUGACAAUGUUCUGAAUAAAUUCAGUUUCACGGCUGCCAAUUUCAAGCACAAACAACAAUUAAAUCAAAUGGGAUUUUUCUAUAUAUGUUAUAAAGAAGUGCUCGAUACUAAUGUCAAUUAUGUCAUGAAUCUAUAUAUAUAAAGCAAAAAAUAGAGAAUAAUGAAACAUUCAAAAUACCAUAAAAUGUCAUUGGUUAAUGUAAACAUUUUAACAGAAAUAUAUUGAAAAUGUCUAUUACUCUAGAGAUUUCUACCAAAUGUCCAUCACAUUUUAACAGUUAAAAUAACAGAUUCUGCAACCCUGGGAGAAAUAAAUUGAAAUUAAAGCAGAGCCUCAGAAAAGAAAAAAAUAAUAACGGAUCCUAAAUGUAUAUUAAAGACAGAAAUAUACCGCAUCAGAAAAGGAAAAAAAUAUAAAUAAUAAUAAAUAAAUAAAUAAAACAUACCCCUCCAAGUAAUGCGACCCAGACAAAUUUGCAGCUUCUGUAAGGGUUUCCUUCCAUCUCAGAACCUUCUUCAUAUUGUCCUCGAAUUUACUUUCAUCAUGGUUAGUAAGUUUCUGUUCUUUGAAUUUGCGUUCAUGGUUAUUCAGUGCCUCGCCAUAACUACCUCUUUGGUUCCUUACAUCUGAGGGAUCCACUUUGUAGAAAACUGGCCAAACCAUCUGUUGCUUUGAUUUUCUACACUGAAUGAUAUGAACAAGUUCAUCCAAGCACCACUUCGAGGAUGCAUAUUUUUCAGAGAAUACGAUGAUGGAACACCUCGAUCCUUCAAUUGCAUCAAGAAGUGCUUGUGAUAUUUCCUCUCCUCUUGGGAGCUCAUCAUCUAUGAAGGUUCUGAUGCCCCUCUGGACCAAAUUUUUGUGCAGAUGGUCUGUGAAAUUGUAGCGUGUGUCCUCACCUCUAAAGCUGAGAAACACAUCGUGGGUCCAUGAAUUGGUGAAAGAAGAAGAAGAAGAAGAAGGGGAAGGAGCUCCUAAUAAUUGAGUGGUGUCUAGAUCCAUAUUGUUGAAAAUUGAACAGGCUGAAAGGGUUGGAAAUUAUAGUGAUUUAUUGUCCGAGAGUCUCUGGUUGGCAAUGUCAGUGGGGAGACGAAUCAUGUGAGUGAAAAGUCUUCGUCUUUCUCGGCCCCAAGAGCCCCUACCUCUGCUGGGUCUCUCUAGACCCGAGGGACAGUUUUAAAUUUUUUUAAUUUUUAAUUUUAUAUAAUUAUUUAAUCAAUAAAAUAAAACUAGUUUGUUACUCUUUCAAAAGGUUUCCGUGAAUGGCGGGAAGAAGAACCACCUUCAUUAGUGGUUGAAUCCAUUUGAUUGCAGAAAAGGAUGUUGGGAAAGGCUACUUUCCUUUGUUAUAUAUUAGGUGUUUACUCAGUGCUCCGCCAUUUGCUUGUAUUAAAAAUAAAAUUAGGCCAUCCCAUCUGCGAAGUAGUUUCCUCUGUCAUUUUCAGAGUGGAUGAGAAGUCAAAAGGUGAAUAUUAUAAAACAGAAGACUGCAUUUUUGUUGCAACGUACGGUUGUUUCGCAAUUCAGAAGUAACGUAGAAGUUCGGCGUGUAGGAAAAAAAGACAAAAUGCGUAGAUGAUGAAGAUGCAUAAAAUAACCUCCUCUAAAUAUUUUGUUAGAAGACAAAACUUUGUUUCUUUUCCUUUUUUCUUAUUAUAUGACCUAAUAUUUGAAAAAUAAUAUUGAUUCCUUUAUCGACAAAAUGGCCUAAUUAUUUACAGAAUUUAAAUAAAUUUUUAUAAUAAAAAUUGAUUUUAAUCCCCACUUGAUACACGCACAUAGGACACGCUUAGGAUAUUCAUUAGGAAAUAAAAUCAAUAGGAUCCAAAAUUUGGUGUUUAUAGGAUAUAGGAUGAUAAGCUAAAUUCAAUAGUCUCAAUACGAACUCAAUAUCACUCAAACUCACUAUGCAACACAUUUCAUUCAAUUCUUUUGUGCCAAAAUAAUUGACUACUCGAACAUCUUCUAAAAGUUUCAUUACGUCCAUGGAGUAUAACUCAGUUGAUUGAGCUCUUUCACCUCCACUUAUGUGGGCAAAAGUUCGAGACACCUAGGCACCCAAUGAAUAUUUGUGUAAACCACUCUCCCCCAAUCACUUGUGCUAUAAAAAUAUAUAAAAAAAUAAUUACAAAUUCCCAUGUUUUUCUUAUCAUUUCCAUUGUUUUUUUAAUCUAGUUUUUAUCAAUAUCAAUAAUUUUUCACAGAUAUUUCCAAAUUUUUAGACCACUAAUAUUUUUGAAACUCUAAAUGCCUGUUUGGCAUUGUUUAUUUGGAGCAAAAAUCACUUUCUUAAAAAGUUUUCUUCCACCUAGCUGUUUGGUAAAUGAAAAAAUAAUCUGAUUAUAUGAAUAAUUGCUGUCAGCCACAGUGAUUUGAGGAAGCUGGUCAGGGGGUGAUUUUAUUUCCGCUUAUGCGGAAAGAGGGUGGGGAACCGGUGCUCUUUAAUGAAUGUUUUAAAAAUGCCCAGAUUAUUCUCAUUGGCUUUUGAAAAUGACAUCCACUAUCGUCUUCAUUUGAUCAUGUAUUCUUGAAUCGCUGCUUCCUCUCCUCUCACGUUACAUAGUGAGUUCAGUUCUUCUUCUUCUUCUCUUCACACCUUUCUUCUUUAAUUUGUCUCCAAGAUUCCUACAACCCCAGAUCUAAAGUUUGUUUCUUAUCUUUUUUCAUUCUGGAUUUGGGGCAGUUAGUCCUUUCUGAUGGUCCAAUCCUGAUAGUCACGUUUCUAGUUCUCAACAAAGAACAAAUCUUAAUGGUCCUUCAAAUCAACGGAUUGGAUCCAGUAUCAAUUUCAUCAUUUUGGGUUUUCAGUGCAACAGAGUGAUAAAAGGUUUUCAGUGCAACAGAGUGAACAAAUCUUAUUGUUUUCUUGUGUUUGAUGGGCUGCAAUGAAUUUGUAGGUUGUAUCCCCUGUGUUCACUCUCUUUCUGGGUUUCUCUUGUUCUAGUCCUCAUUUGCAACUUUAUCCAAAUUAUUUUUUUAUAAAUUCUCUUGUUCUAGAACACUUUUAUUUUUAAUACUCAUUCUAAACUGGUUUCCUUCAAUCCUUUUUUCCGUUUUCAAAAUCAUUGGGUUUUCAAUAAUGAAAUGCUGUAUUAAUUGACGACAAACAAAACAAAACAAAACAAUGUAGGAUCAGCCCACAUAACGCAUCUGGAAGAAAGAGGCGAAGGGUGGUCAUAAUUUCUAAAUUUACUUCACAAUAAGGAAAGGAAUGCAUAUAUGCAAGUAUGACUGUAUGAGUAGCAACGUAUAUACUCGAUGGGAAUUGGCAUUUGGUUGUUGGCCAUGGAGUUAAAUGGUGUGAACAAAAAUUACUAAUGAAGAGGCAAGAGGGCACUGAAUACUGCAAUCGUGAUAGGAAGAUUUUGGGUUGUUAUUAUAUUCAUUUGUGAAUUACAAUAGUUGAGUUUUCAAUUGAUCAUAAUAUUCAGGUUUUAGGUAUUGAAAUUAAAAAUAAUAACCUCAUGCCCUUUCUAGUCACUAUACACAGUCCAAACACUUUUACACAAAAAUUUACCAAACAUUCGUAAACUUAAUAUUGUUUCAACAUCACUUUUAACAAAAAGUUUACCAAACGCCAAAUUGAUUUAUUUCACAGCUGAUUUCUCAUAUAGCAAAUUUAACCAUGAUUAUUUUCACAGCACAGCAAUGCCAAACUGACUACCUUACUUCUUACCCAAAAAAAUUGUCCUUACUUAUUGUAAAAUUAAUGAGACAAUAACUAUUUAUAACAAAAACCAUGAUUGCACUCAUAAUAUGCAUCAAUGUACAUCACAGAUGCAAAGUAGUUUCAUGUCAUCUUCAUAGUGGAUGUGAAGUCAAAGGGAAUAAGAAAAUGGUCAAAAGGAAACAACAACCAACCACAAAAGAAAAAGAAAAAAGAAGCAUCACUACACUUUCGUUGCAACAUGGUUAUUUAACAAGUAGUUGGGGGUGUGGAAAAAAAGACAAAAGGUCGAUUGAUGAUGAAGAUGACUAAAAUAGAUCAGGAUUGUCAAAAAUAACAUCUAUAAUUGUUAGAACACAAAAUUUUGUUAUUGGCGAGUCAGUUAAUUCAUAAUGUGUCAUGCUAUUAGAUAGAAAGGUAUUCGUAUAAUGUAUGUGAGUUUAGUAAAUUAUCGCCCCUCUCAAUAAGGGCUUGCAAGUAAUGAGACACAUAACCUAAUUAAAAGACAGGAUUGUAAUUAAACCGAUAUUUUGUUGAUUAAGAAUGAAUGCAAUUUUCAAAAAUAAUAUCAUGAACCCAUUCAAAUUGAGUGAGAGGGACUUCGUCGAUCUUUUCUUCUAGCAGAUCAAACUUGUUCAGUAUCAAAAUGAAGUCUUUAUAUGGUCAAUGACUGGAUAGUGAGCGUAUGGUGGAAUGUCUAGUUUUGGGGUGGGUGGUUUCAAUUGGGUUGCCACCAAAUAUAUACUACUAGAUAGUAACUUUUGAAUUAAUGAUGCCAAGGGCUUAAAUAAGAUGGAGUAUUUAAUCAAACUUCUUGUUUCAUGAUGCUAUAGUCAAUUGUUGCAUGACUAAUACCUUUUUUUUUUUUUUUUUUUUUUUAAUUUUAUGUUUUUUCGAAAAGGCAGAUUUCAUUCCAUUAGAAAGGAGGAAUAAUGGGCAUGUAAUACAUAGCCUCGUUAAAACCUUCCCGGAGAAACCACACGUGAAAAAUCCCGGAGUAAGAAAGAGUACCACAAAUGCUGAUGAAGUACACAACAAGAAAAAUUACAUUGCAUCACUAUUCCUCCUUUUUAGUUCAAGAGGUAUCUUUUUUUUUCUUUUUUUUUGGUGGUUUUCUUUGUGCAUGCUCUUGGGAUUUAUAGUACUUUACUCUGUUGUGAUCAAUGUUAUGUCUAGAGUACCCAAUGUUAUAUAACUCCCCCAUUGUAAUUUCUAUAACUCAUAACUCGCAAGAAAGAAUUCAACCUCCCCGUAGUUUAGAAAAUAACUAUUUAAUUAAAGAUUACAAUCUGGUUUGGUUAAGUUAACUGACUAUAUAUAUAUAUAGUAGCAACGGUGCCCACGCGAUGCUACAGGUUUUAAAACCCUGUGAAAUGUAUACAAAGUCGUGAAAAUAUGUAGGAAAUAUGGUACUAUUUAUAUAGACAUGGAGAUCUAAAUAGUGGCAUCUUUGUUUUGCAAGUUUAAUACUCCCAAAGAAAAAAUUAGCCAAACUACAGACGCAAAAAUGAAUCUUAAUCAAUUCCAAAUAAUAGAGGCAGUGUUCAAACUUAGAAAGAUAGAAGAACUAAAAUUCAGAUAAUGGAGGUAAUGUUCAAACUUUGAACAUCUCUAACAUGACAUCACCAAAUCAGUAAAUAUUACACAAAAUCAGUAUAAAAACACAUGAAGACAAAAAAAAAAAUAAAAAAAGCAAAUAUUAACAACAAUAGAUCAUUACACAAUUUAGGGUGACCCUAACAACAAUUGAGGAAUUGAUUGCUUUUGUUAGAGACCAAAGCAAGUGUUUCUAAAACAGGGAAUAAGAGCAUAAAAGUUUUUGAAUGUUGGAUGCCCAUUUUUUACUUUUCCUUCCUCUUCCUCUAUUUCCCGAGAAAGCAAAUAAACAGAAUCAGCCAAAUAUCACCACAAAUCAAAUGUAUGGUAAUUAAUUAAAUGCCAAAGUAAGAAGUGCCAAAGAAUCAUUGAGCAUAAAAUAAAAAAAAACCAAAAAUCUGAGUCACCACUUGUAGAAGAUUAGCCCUUUGCUGGCAGCUCCUUUCACUUACAAACUCCUUGGUGUUCCAGUGCCACAACAACUUCAGUACUUGCUGCACAAUCCAAGCUCCUCAGUACUCGAUGCACAAUCCAAGCCCUGCAAGCUACAUUGGUAUUUGUUAUGGGUUGCCAUAAAAGGGAAUUUUCAUUUUUAAAGGUCCGUAUGUACGAAUCUAUAAAUGAGUUGCAAAACUUCCACAAAUAUCAAAUCAAACCACAGAUUAGUGGCAGCAUGUAUGUACCAAAUUGUGGCACAUCCCAUUUCAGCUCAUAAAUCGUCAAAUAAAAAAUCUAAAAUACGCAUUCAUAUCAUACAAGUUGGAAGGAUGAACCAAUAUUUUGCAAAAGCACAAAACUUUAUUAACAUCCCAACAAACCCAAAGGAUAAAAACAGAUAAUCAAAUCAAUCAUGAAAUACAGAAUUACAGACAGAAUACGCACAUAUAAGGAUGAAAUGCAACAAUUAAGACCACUCGCGCCACCCAUUUCUCUGUAAUUGAUCUUUCGCUUUUUCAUUGUCAAUCCAACAUACUUUUAAAUCUUUACCAAUCAAAUUUUACGUCUCCAAUUCAACCGGGCAUUUCGAGGGGAUGCCUCUGACGCAGCCUCCUUCACAUCUGCCACCAAAGCCAAACAUCAAACCUCAAUUAAUUCACAAACCCAGAAACCAACCCAACCCAAAUUACAUAGGGCAGAUAGAUAAAGAAGCAGGAUGAAGCAAAAUGAUAAUAAUUGGUCAAACAGAACCCAACAUGCACAAAAGCUUCAAAUGUCCAAAGCUCCAAAAACAAAACAUAAUAAUAAUAACCCGAAUUGGGCAAACCAAGUUCUACUCAGUAGUGGGUGGCUCUUGUGGGGAAGAAGAUGAAGCUUCAUCUGCAUAAGAGACCAAUGUACACAGUGGGCUUGCGUUUCACGUCCCAUGGCUGCGUUUUGCGAGGCCGAGUCUUCCUGUGAUGCGCAGUGGCCUUCUUCUGUGGCCUCGACGAACACUCAAUCAUCAACCCAGUACCUCCACCAACUGAGCCGCGCAAUGGGGAUGUCUUUGGGACCCCAAACGACUCGAUCGCAGAUGGGUUCUUCACGGCCACACCCAUAGCCACCAAUUGAGGCCCCAACACAGCUUCAGUUCUCACAGUGAGAAAAAGACGAUGGAAUUGGGUUUUCCUUCUCUCAGCGACUCCGACGAAGAGGAGAGAAUAGCGCUGGAGGGCAAAACGGCUAAUUCACUGCUCAUAAGUCAACUCAAGGAAGCAGACCAUCACUUAAGCGGGGGCAAAACCGUCACUUCGCUAUUCCCAAGCUACAGUCCAGGAACAAUGACUCUGGGAUCAGUUUUAGUAUAUAUAUAAUUUAUAAAUAAAUAAAAAGAACUUGUGUAUUUUGUUUCUUUGUUUGUUAAAAAAUAAUGGGAGAUAUUAUUGGCACCCCAUUAUUUGCUCUUUGCACCCCAUAUUAAUUUUAAACAUGAAUAAUUUAUUUAACCUUCGUACAUAAUUACCGUUAAGGACAAAAAGCAUUUAUAAUAAAAAUUAAAUUUGCUCACUACACCCCAUGUAUGUUCCUGCAACUCUAGUUAGAAUUUUUUUCUUAAACCAUCAUGUUCCUACAAUCCUAAUGAGCUUUAUACGCUUAUAUUGGUGAAAAAUAUAUUGUAUUUAUUCAUGAAGGGUGAGAUUGAAGUUAGAGAGGCUUCGAAUGAGUUAUGAGUUUAUUUUUUGGCCUUUUUCAAGCUUGGGAUUUCUUGAUGGUUCGCUAGUUGCGUUUAGCAAACCAGUACCGAACGCGAUAGGUAAAUUCGGUGGGAUGCCACCGAAACAUUGCACCUAUUUUGGUUGCGUUUGACUGGCCGUUAACUUCAGAUGCAGUGGAGAUCCACCAUAAUAUAAACGGUGUUCGGUGGUUUAUUACAGAAUUUUUACCUACAAUUCAGUGGCAACGAACCGAAAUAUAUUUAUUUUUUCAGUAACUUAUUGUCGACCACAAAUUUAAUAUAAGCUAUUUUGACCUUACUCCCAUUGAAGGAACAAAAACAAGAUGACGCCCUUAAAAUAGAUGACACAUCAUCAAAUGUGAUGGUCAUCUCACUAAAAGGCAUGUGAAAGAUGUUCGUUUCAAGAUGCCAUCUCUCAAUAAAGGUAGAUAUAACAAUCUUAUCUGCAUUCCGAUAAGAACACUAAAUAAGUUGCUCCAAUCCAUACCUCUAAAUGUACCAUUUGAAUAUACCAUUAUUUGGAUUAGCCCUCCAAUUUCACUAAUGAAGGAUAGAUGUCUUCGACAUGCACCUAAGGUGCUCACAUUCCUAGUAAAAAACAAUAUUAAGUACAAACUCAAUAACGAAUUCAGUAGAUGAUCACUGAAACAAGAAACGAAUUCACGGAAACAAAAAAUGAAUUCAGUUGACUACUACUGAAAAACAUAAACAUAUUCAAUAGACUGUCACUAAAAAACUGAAACAGAUUAUGUGAACUACUAUUGAAAAACGUAAACACAUUCGGUGGGUAGCUACUGAAAAUAGAAAACAAAUUCGAUGGACUACCGUUGAACAAGGUAACGAUUUUAGUGGGGUUUACACAGGUAAGUUAGGGAAUGGGGUUCAUGAGGGCAAUCUAGGAAGAAAAAUGAGGUGUAUUGAGUAAUUUUAAAAUUUCCUAAAAUUCAGUGGGGUGUAAGGAGAAUAUGAGGUGGAAAGAGCAAAUGUUAGAGUGCCAAUAAAAUCAUCCAAAAAUAAUAUAUGGUUUAAUGGGUUGUCCUGUUAAGGGAAAGCUUGGAGGCAAUAAUUUAAACUUUUGGAAAAACAAUAAUCCCAAAUGUAAGAACAAUUCAUCCACUAAUAGCUUGCAAAAUUAUAAUUUAAAUGGAAAAACAAAAAACAAAUGCACUAGUAAUAAGUUAAUGUAUCUACUAAACUUAAUUACAUGGAGGCAAUCUAAUGGAUCACUAGUGAUUUUUUAGUCAAAACAACCUAGUUAUAUAUAAUUACUGAAAAAAAUAAUCUCAUUUUUCACGGCCCAAGAACGGGCAAGGGUCCUUCAAUAAGUUAAACAUGUUUACAAGGUGUCACCAAAGCACAAAACGGUCCAUAAGCAAACGAACUGUGGCCUCUGAAAGACUAGAGGAAUCCAAGUCCCUCUGAAUCUGAACCAUUCUGCUGCUCUCUUUUCUUGCUUCUUUCAACACUUGCUGUUGUUCUUCAACCUCAUCAUC
rnacentral:lncRNA from 1 species